AGUCGUAACAAGGUUUCCGUAGGUGAACCUGCGGAAGGAUCAUUAAUGAAUUCAGCGGCGCAAGCUGCGAACCAUAAAACAUAUCCAAAACCGGCACCGAGCGGCGCCUGCGCGUCAUUGCGUGGGCGUUGCGCGUGUGCCAAACACCCCUUGUGAACUGUUAUUAUUUAUGCUGCCAUGAUGAUGACGAUGAUGACUUGAAUGUUGUGGUUGUUGUUGUGGCAGCAGCGUUUUGAACCUGUGAGUAUUUGUCUGAAAGAUUCUUAAAUCGUGCUCGCUUCUCGUGUGUCCGUCGUGCUUGUGUUUUGUAACGCAGCCGGCAGCGGCGAAAGCAGUGCGUGCGAACUAAUAGAGAACAACUUUUAACAAUGGAUCUCUUGGCUCUC
rnacentral:misc_RNA from 1 species